AUAACUAGAGGCUCUAAAGAGCCUGUGUCGCUCACCUUGGUCUAUGUGAAUAUUAAACAAAGGACACAGAUAGAUUCAAGACAAAAUUGUGGUUUGGUGAUGGUGAUGUGUUUGUAGAUCUUACUUUACUGAACAAUCUUGCUGCUUACAAUUAUCUCUAUCUAUAAUGAACUUGGCCCAGUAGUUACAGUGGAAAAUGUUAGUAAAAUUUUACAAAUUUUGUGAAAAUUGUUAAAGAAUGACUAAAUAAAGGGCAAUAACUCCUUAGGGGGUCAAUUGACCAUUUUGGUCAUGU
rnacentral:lncRNA from 1 species